UUUUACAAUGAAGAGUUUGAUCCUGGCUCAGGAUGAACGCUAGCUACAGGCUUAACACAUGCAAGUCGAGGGGCAGCGGGAUUGAAGCUUGCUUCAAUCGCCGGCG
rnacentral:rRNA from 1 species